AACCUAUGGUGAGGGCACAUUCUCAAUAAGUCCUUAUAACUCUCCCAUGUAUCAUAUAAGGUCCCUAAGUCGAUCCGAAUGAAGGAAGAGAUAUCAUUCCUCAACUU
rfam:Gossypium arboreum cultivar AKA8401 contig_39726_1, whole genome shotgun sequence.